GUGCCAGCAGCCGCGGUAAUACGGAGGAUGCAAGCGUUAUCCGGAAUGAUUGGGCGUAAAGCGUCCGUAGGUGGUUUUGUAAGUCCGUGGUUAAAGCGUGGAGCUUAACUCCAUAACGGCCAUGGAAACUACAAGACUAGAGUGAAGUAGGGGUAGAGGGAAUUCCCAGUGUAGCGGUGAAAUGCGUAGAGAUUGGGAAGAACACCGGUGGCGAAAGCGCUCUACUGGACUUAUACUGACACUGAGGGACGAAAGCUAGGGGAGCGAAAGGGAUUAGAUACCCCUGUAGUCCUAGCCGUAAACGAUCAGGACUUGGCGUGGGCCCCGUCCGGGGUCCGUGUCGUAGCCAACGUGAUAAGUCCUGCGCCUGGGGAGUACGGUCGCAAGGCUGAAACUUAAAUGAAUUGGCGG
rnacentral:rRNA from 1 species